AACGAACGCUGGCGGCAGGCCUAACACAUGCAAGUCGAGCGCCCCGCAAGGGGAGCGGCGGACGGGUGAGUAACACGUGGGAAUUUUCCUCAAGGUACGGAACAACUCAGGGAAACUUGGGCUAAUACCGUAUGAUGCAGAGAUGCCAAAGAUUUAUCGCCUUGGGAUAAGCCCGCGUCAGAUUAGGUAGUUGGUGGGGUAAUGGCCUACCAAGCCUGUGAUCUGUAGCUGGUCCGAGAGGACGAUCAGCCACAUUGGGACUGAGACACGGCCCAAACUCCUACGGGAGGCAGCAGUGGGGAAUCUUGCGCAAUGGACGAAAGUCUGACGCAGCCAUGCCGCGUGAAUGAUGAAGGUCUUAGGAUUGUAAAGUUCUUUAGCCUGUGACGAUGAUGACGGUAACAGGAGAAUAAGCCCCGGCUAACUUCGUGCCAGCAGCCGCGGU
rnacentral:rRNA from 1 species